rnacentral:rRNA from 1 species
AACGCUAGCUACAGGCUUAACACAUGCAAGUCGAGGGGCAGCAUAAAAGUAGCAAUACUUUGGUGGCGACCGGCGCACGGGUGAGUAACGCGUAUGCAACCUACCUAUCAGAGGGGAAUAACCCGGCGAAAGUCGGACUAAUACCGCAUAAAACAGGGGCACCGCAUGGUGAUAUUUGUUAAAGAAAUUCGCUGAUAGAUGGGCAUGCGUUCCAUUAGGUAGUUGGUGAGGUAACGGCUCACCAAGCCGACGAUGGAUAGGGGAACUGAGAGGUUGGUCCCCCACACUGGUACUGAGACACGGACCAGACUCCUACGGGAGGCAGCAGUGAGGAAUAUUGGUCAAUGGGCGGGAGCCUGAACCAGCCAAGUCGCGUGAAGGAAGAAGGAUCUAUGGUUCGUAAACUUCUUUUGCAGGGGAAUAAAGUGCAGGACGUGUCCUGUUUUGUAUGUACCCUGAGAAUAAGGAUCGGCUAACUCCGUGCCAGCAGCCGCGGUAAUACGGAGGAUCCGAGCGUUAUCCGGAUUUAUUGGGUUUAAAGGGUGCGUAGGUGGUUUGAUAAGUCAGCGGUGAAAGUUUGCAGCUUAACUGUAAAAAUGCCGUUGAAACUGUCGGACUUGAGUGUAAAUGAGGUAGGCGGAAUGCGUGGUGUAGCGGUGAAAUGCAUAGAUAUCACGAAGAACUCCGAUUG